UACGUAUGGUGCAAGCGUUAUCCGGAUUUACUGGGUGUAAAGGGAGCGCAGGCGGCACGGCAAGCCUGAUGUGAAAGCCCGCGGCCCAACCGCGGGACUGCAUUGGGAACUACCGGGCUGGAGUGCCGGAGAGGUUGGCGGAAUUCCUAGUGUAGCGGUGAAAUGCGUAGAUAUUAGGAGGAACACCAGUGGCGAAGGCGGCCUACUGGACGGUGACUGACGCUGAGGCUCGAAAGCGUGGGGAGCAAACAGG
rnacentral:rRNA from 1 species